GCACUGCUGAGGAGUCCCACAAUAGGACGAAACAGCUGUCCAGCGC
rfam:Schistosoma mansoni strain Puerto Rico chromosome W, complete genome